GAUGAACGCUGGCGGCGUGCCUAAUACAUGCAAGUCGAGCGAACAGACGAUGAUCUUGCUCCUCUGACGUUAGCGGCGGACGGGUGAGUAACACGUGGAUAACCUACCUAUAAGACUGGGAUAACUUCGGGAAACCGGAGCUAAUACCGGAUAAUAUAUUGAACCGCAUGGUUCAAUAGUGAAAUACGGUUUUGCUGUCACUUAUAGAUGGAUCUGCGCCGCAUUAGCUAGUUGGUAAGGUAACGGCUUACCAAGGCAACGAUGCGUAGCCGACCUGAGAGGGUGAUAGGCCACACUGGAACUGAGCCACGGUCAAGACGACUAAGGGAGGCAGCAGUAGGGAAUCUUCCGCAAUGGGCGAGAGCUUGACGGAGCAACGCCGCGUGAGUGAUGAAGGUCUUCGGAUCGUAAAACUCUGUUAUUAGGGAAGAACAAAUGUGUAAGUAACUAUGCACGUAUUGACGGUAACUAAUCAGAAAGCCACGGCUAACUACGUG
rnacentral:rRNA from 1 species